rnacentral:snoRNA from 1 species
GCAGGGCUGAAGACUGCGGUUUUUUUUAAUCAGUGGUUUACAUAGCCAGACACCAGGCAGAAAAGAAAAGAGUGGUCUUCCCUUUAAAGUGGUUAUAAUCAUGUGCUAAGUUUCCCCCCCCCCCCCAUAACAUAUCAUUAUUCAAGGGAAAUACAAA